UUUUUUUUUUUUUUUUUUGGUUUCCCAGAAUUUUAGUGAAGUAGAAUUUAGAGGAGGUACAAAGUGUGAACAGAACUAUUUUUAUAUGAGAAGAAUUUUCUACCAUGACACAUUCUCUAUUGAUUUGUGGUUCUAUACUUUCUCUGUGAAUUGAAUUUUUCAAAAUUAUCCAUAGUUCACAAUAUAUUUAUAGCCAUUGGAAAAUAAUUAUAUCGAUCUAAAUGACUAUCAGAUUGGCCACUAAAUUGUUUCUGGAGCUAUCCUAGUUUAUUGAAAACAGGGCCUUAGUGUCUUCCUGAGAAGAAACAGAAUAAUUUAUUUUAAGAAACUUAACUGGAAUGGAUCAGCCUCGGAGUUUGUGCUCAAGAUUCUAGCUUCUCCUCCCCUCCUCCCCACCUUUAUUUUUAUAAUGAAUUUACUGCUUACCUUCAACAAAUCGAUUCAUUUCUCUGGGCCACAGGCUACCCAGUUAAAGAACAGUGGUAUAUUUCAAAAUUAUCUGGAAUGUAAGGGCUACAGAGUUAAACUCUGUAACAUGUUUCAGGUAGUCUGAUAAAAACUGAUAAAGACAAUAUCUUAUUUUAGUCUCAUUUUCUUCUUCAUGCUAUUAAAGACAUUCAGUAUGAGAAAUGCUAUUUCUGUUUUCCAAGUAGAAUUUUUGAGAACGCUGACUGUAGUAGCAAAUAUUUUUAAAGUCCAUCAGGCAUUUAUUGAUCAUAAGCAUUAACAUUAUUUAUUAAACUUCAACUCAUUAGCAUUGCAUUUUUUCUGGGCACUAUCAAAUUUCCUUUUAUAUCUUGGUGAUUAAAUGUAUCCUAUAUCUACUAACAAGAGGGUGACUUCACUUUGUGCCAGACAGAAACUCGAAUUCUCCCUAGAGACUUUAGAUUGUUUCCUUUUAUGUACAGUGGAUCAGAAGGGCCCCUUUCUUCAUUUUAUAAACACGACUUUUAUCCAAGUAUCUUUAUUCCCUGGCCUAACUGAGCCAUAGGUGUCCUUUAAAGUUGAAUAGUACCCAUUAUUGAUAAAUAUAAUCUUUAUGAAGAUAUUAUUAAUAAUAAUAUAGGAAUCUGUUCUUUACAUUUGGAUUUCAAAUCUACAUGUCUUUGCAGAUUAAAUACUUAUAUCCUUCCUUGAAUAGUUUAAAACAUCAAAGACUUAUUUUGCUUUGAAAUGGCCAACAUGUUAACUAACCACAUUAUUAGCAUCUAGAUCCUUUAUUGUUUUAUUUUUUCAUGGUUUUCAAAUUUUACGCCAAUUCUAUGUAACAAGCCUGCACAUCCUGCACAUGUACCCUGAAACUUAAAAUAAAAAUUAAAUUCUGCUAGGUCAGUGAGAUGAGCAUUUUACCUGCCAAUGUGUGGUAGCGCAAGGGUGAAUUCUGGUUUAGGGGGACCUGAACCUUACAUAAUUGGAGGUGGGAGAGGACUCUCUAAGAAAAAAAACACAAAGUAGGUAUGAUAGUUAUAUAUACGUAGAAAAAGAAAUCACACACACAGCUUUAAAAGAGCUGACAAAUACCACAAAUUAAAUUAACUUCCUGAAAUUAAACUGUCCUUUUCCCAGUAUUUUGGGAUGUAAGCUCUUUGAUUACCUCUUUACAUGUCAACAAUUUUUAAAUUUUAUAUCAUUUUCUAUAAAGAGACUAGAAUAAACUUUUCUCUAGCAUGGUUGAUACAAAUUUGUUUUCUUAUUGUUAGUUGUUUACAAAGGGUUUAUUUUAUUUCUACAACCCAUGAUUGAUUGUGUAAAAUUAUGGAUUUCUCUCUGUAGAUUCUGAACCUAAAAUUCUAUUCACUUUAAGGAAAACCUAACUCUGACCAAGUGCCUGGUCUUUUUGACUUUGGAAAUAAUGUUCUUUAUAUCCCUGGUCCAGGUGUGAACAUUCCCUUGGGGCACCAGUGCAUGGUGCUGAUGUGGCAGUAUCUGAUGUCAUUUAGUAGAAGCAAGGCCUCUCUUUCUCCCCCUCCCCAUGUUUCCUUUUGUUUGUGGUAUCCCCAGAGCCUAGCAGUACACUUGGUACACAGCAUGUGAAGAAGUAAAAAGAUAGGGUCUUUUCAGGGUUCAAAUCCUACUUUUGCCCUUUGACUUUUGGAAAAUUAGUUUAUGUUUAUGAGGCUCAAUUGUAAACCCAAGUUAAUACAAACCUUUAAAAGUUUCUGUGGGAAUCAGAGAACUUAUGUACGGACAUUGUUCCCAGAUACUCCAUGACAGAAAGAAGAAUACAUGUAAAUUACAUGUAAAUUAGUUAAUUUUUGUGAGCCUUGGUUUAUUCAUUUAUAAAGUGAAAUUAUUAACACUUAUCUUAAAAGGUUGUUUUGAGGAUCCUAGAUAAUGCACUUAAUUAGCACAGUUCUUAGAAUAUAGACAGCAUUAAUCAAUAUGUCAGCACUACUUGUGGGAAAGGCUCUUAGGGCUCACAAGAUAUUCUGGUGCUCUUCUAUACUUCCCAGCCUACCUAGCAGUUUGGUUAGUGUCAUAUGAGUAGCUAUAGCCAAUGAAAUAUGAGGGGAAAUUAGCAUUUCUGGGCCAGGACAAUUAAAUGCCAGUGUAUUUUCUGCACCUCUUUCCGCCUCUGCAGCAGGAACCUUGGUGAUGGUGUAGCUACAAUAUGCAAGGAAAUUGCACCCCUGGGUCAUUAUCAAAUGGGAACUUCUCAGGAGAGCUCCUGGACUGUAUUGAACUUUGUAUGAACAUGAAUAAAAUUUGAUUAUCUUACGCCACUAUGAUUUGAGUUUGUUAUUUUAUUUUAUUUUACUUUACUUUAUUUUAUGGUUACUGCAGCUUGCCCAGCAUCAUCCAGUCAUUAUUGUUGUUGUUGUUACUAUUGAACAGAACUACUCAAACUUUGGCAAUUUUGGUGAUACAUGGAGCUGAAGUGUUGGCGCCUACCCUCAGAUACUCCAUGACAGAAAGAAGAACAAGGAUUAAAAGAACACACACAUACAUCUAAUGGGGCUCCUGAAAUCUCCAGCUAAAUCCUUUUAUUGCAGAAUAUUUGGAUAGUGAUAUCAGGCAAGCCUAACUUGAGAGGACUUCUGGGUAAUGGUGCUAAUUACAGAAGUCAUUUCUGCCAAUUCUGGGGGCUAAGAAAGUCGUGAUUGAAAGGACAAUCCUGAUGAGAGAGCAUAAGUAAUGCCUUCAUUUAACACAUGGCAAAGAAACAAGAAGCUGAUUAUUGAAAUUUGGGCUGACCCCUAUACUCUCCUGGUGCUGUCUAUAUUGGCACCCAUGACCCGUGGAGUCUAGAAACUCCUUGGAAUGGGCAAAAAUAAACCCGAGGACUACUUUGCACACUGAAAUGUGCAGGAAACUGAGACCCUGAAUUCAGCCUCACAUUUGCAUCAGCACUUAAAUGAAUGGCAGCCUGGCAGCCCACAUCAGAGCCUUCUCCUCUCAACUAAACAUGACAGGAAAUUUCUCCCGGCACUUUGGGGGACAGUUGUUCCUUCUCACCCCAUUUCUAUAUACCAAAACUCCCGCUGUUAUCACCUAUAUUGAUUUUAGUUCAAUUUGUACUAAAGAUGGGCAUUUUAAAGUUAAAAAAAAAAAAAUCCCAGAUUAACUUAGUUAAUCUUUAGCACAACCUCAUGAGGGAGGUUCUGUUACUUCCACUUCACACGAGAAGGAAGUAGAGGCAUAAUGUUUUACAUUCCCUGACUAUGUAGACUCUGUGAUGGCCUAAUUUGUUUUGUUUACUGCUGUUUUCUCAAAAUCUAGUAUGGUUGGCACAUAAUAGGUGCUCAAUAAAUACUCGUAGACUGAACUAUGCAUGCAUGCAUGAAUGAAUAAAUGCACAAACAACCCCAAGGUCACAUAGCCAACUGGGACCUAGACAGCUAUUUAACCCCAAUGCUUGUGUCCUUGGUGACCUCGGCACACAGGUGAUUCAGGUGGUAUGCCUACUCUGUGACCUCACUCUACUCAGAAGAGGAAGGGGCUAUCUGCUCAUUGUCAUAACCUUUGUGAAAUCACCAACCAAGGAAGGACCAGAUUUCGGUUCUCCUAGGGUUGUCAUAGCUACUUGUUUGGGUUUGAUAUGAACAAUCUGGUGAAGCAAGGAAGUCGGUAGUGUAAUGGAAUCUGAUAGAACUCUUAACUGCCUAACAUGUACGCUCUCUCUGCUCCAGUACUAUCAUCUGGAAAAUAGAAAUAAUUAUAUUUACCUCAUGAGGAGAUUGUGAGGAUUAAAUUUUAAAAUACAGAUAAAACACCUAGCAUCAAUGUCUUGUACAUAGUGGGCAUUCAGUAAUAGUUUACCUUUUCCUCCACCCAUUUAACCUGAAGCUCUGUCCCCAUUUUUGAAUAGGCAACACAAUGCUCUGCUCUCUUCUUUCAAGCAUAAUGGAGAGGGGAAAAGCCUGAAAAAGAAGAUUUGCCCUAGGGCAUAGAGGAUGAAAAUGUACUGAAUUUGUACUGACUGCUCCUCUGCAGGUAAAACAUUCCCUUGCAGAUAUUUCUGCAUGUGUGUUAAAUACUCUGAGAUAAUUCUGGCAUUUGUGGAUAUGAAAUAAACGCCAAAUUGACUAAGGUGUUGUGGAGGCUGAAGCAAAGCCUAAUUAAAUAAUAUGAAACACUGUAGGUAAUAUGUAGCUGUUGUGAGGUUAGGGAAGGCAGCCUUUUCAGAAUUUUUAUUAAGAGAAGGAAGGAUUCGAAUUAACCAUUACUAAAGAUUCAGAUUUUAAGAAAACUUGCUUUUUAAAAAACAUACAUAUGGAGCUUAAAGUAUCUUUUAUAGAAAAAAAGGAGUGGCUUCCGAAAUGGGAUUGAAAUGCCUUUGAAUGUUUUGCUUGAAUGCAACAUCAGAUCCUUUUUGGGACUGAAGAGGAAGGGAGGCAUUGGGAAAGAAGUGAAGUGGGGAUCAGUGAGGCAGGCCUUAGGAAGUUCACUGGAAGAGUAGAGGCACCUGUGUCGCUGCCUCUGGGUCUGAUCUUCAUCCCAGCUGAGCCUUGCAGUGGAAAGUAUUUUGAAAAUACGCUUUAAUUUUAAAAAAGAAGGAAUGAAGGGAAGGAGCGAGGGGU